rnacentral:rRNA from 1 species
CGCUUCAGCGCAGCUUGAUGCAGCGACGCCGCGUGGAGGAUGAAGGCUUUAGGGUCGUAAACUCCUGUUAAGAGGGAAGAAAGACGGAUGGAUAAUACCCAUUCGGGAUGACGGUACCUCUAGAGAAAGCUCCGGCUAACUUCGUGCCAGCAGCCGCGGUAAUACGAGGGGAGCAAGCGUUAUUCGGAAUUACUGGGCGUAAAGGGCGUGUAGGCGGUUUACUAAGUCAGUUGUUAAAGCCCGUGGCUUACCCACGGAUGGGCAAUUGAUACUGGUGAACUAAGAGGGCAAGAGAGAGAAGUGGAAUUCUCGGAGUAGCGGUAAAAUGCGUAGAUCUCGAGAGGAACACCGAUGGCGAAGGCAGCUUCUUGGCUUGUACCUGACGCUGAGGCGCGAAAGCGUGGGGAGCAAACAGGAUUAGAUACCCUGGUAGUCCACGCCGUAAACGAUGAUCACUAGAUGUUGGUUUCGCUUAGCGAGAUCAGUGUCACAGCUAACGCGUUAAGUGAUCCGCCUGGGGAGUACGGUCGCAAGAUUAAAACUCAAAGGAAUUGACGGGGGUCCGCACGAGCGGUGGAACAUGUGGUUUAAUUCGACACUACGCGAGGAACCUUACCUAGACUUGACAUGUAGGUGACCGCCAUAGAGAUAUAGCUUUCCUGGUUUUACUAGGACACUUACACAGGUGCUGCAUGGCUGUCGUCAGCUCGUGUCGUGAGAUGUUGGGUUAAGUCCUUUAACGAGCGCAACCCCUACUGUUAGUUGCUAGCCUUCGGGCGCACUCUAACGGAACUGCCUUGGAAACAGGAGGAAGGUGGGGAUGACGUCAAGUCCUCAUGGCCCUUAUGUCUAGGGCUACACCACGUGUUACAAUGGCGAGUACAGCGGGGAGCGAAGCCGCGAGGCUGAACAAAUCCUUUAAAGCUCGUCUAGUCGGAUGAGUCUGAAAUCGACUCAUGAAGUGAAUCGCUAGUAUCCGUAUCAGACGACGCGGUGAAUACGUCUCGACUGUACAACCGCCGUCACACCAGAAGGCGCUCACACCCGAGUCGUAGCUAACUAGAGAGCCACCCAAGUUGGGUGGA